UAGAUCAGUUUUAAUAAUAGUUCUGUUUUAAAUCAUGUACACGCGUUAAACAAAAUCAAGUCAAAUCAUGGACAUUCUUAAUCCCUCUCCAUUAACAUGUUUCCUUUAAACAAUCUUAUAAUAUAAUUGUCCACUACCACACACACACACACAGACACUCAUACCAAGAGAAAACACGCACACUUGUUUUCGAAGACUACAAUAUCAUGUCAUAUUUAGUGCGUACUUCAAGCCGAGGGGAGCAACAGCAUUGCUUUGUUGAACUCCUUCAGUUAAAUGAGAUGAAGGAGCAGGGCUUCUUUUGAUCAGAGGGACGAUGCAUAAUGAGGAGCUCCGCCUACAGUCUGACAUGGGAUCAUCAGAACGCUGUAUUGGGGAACCCAGAACCCAUCAGAGCUGUCCUCCCCAUUCCCUUGACCCCUGCACAAAAAAACAACGCUGGGCGGGGAGGUGGGGGGCUACAGGAAAGAACCUGAUGGAUGAGUAGCACUCAGUCCAACAGCACACUGCCCCACACUAACUCACACGAAUAUAAUAAUGGAAUGAAUGAGGAGCAUUAGAGAGAAAAGAGUGUGUGUGUGUGUGUGUGUGUGUGUGUGUGUGUGUGGCCUUCUGUCCACACUUUAUAUUAUACUAAAUAAGAGAAAGAAAGAGGCACACACAAGCACAGCAAAGCGGCUGUGUCCCGCGGGCAGGAAACAACAUAUGGACAGACUAACAAGAAGAAAAAAAAAAAAAGAAAAAAAAAGGGUACAAGCCAAAGUAAUCACACUCAACUAAAAGCAAACUCGCUUACAAAUCGAACAA